rnacentral:hammerhead_ribozyme from 1 species
AUUCAGCUGACGAGUCUUAAAAUAGGACGAAACGCAUGUCAAUCUGAAU